rnacentral:rRNA from 1 species
AAUCAACGCUGGCGGCGCGCUUAACACAUGCAAGUCGCACGAGAAAGGGAGCAAUCCUGAGUAACGUGGCGUCCGGGUGAGUAACCCGUGGGAAUCUACCUCUUUGCGGGGAAUAACCCUGGGAAACCGGGGCUAAUACCGCAUAAGCUCGUGAGAUGAAAGCAGCAAUGCACCGAGAGAGGAGCCCGCGGCCGAUUAGCUAGUUGGUGGGGUAAUGGCUCACCAAGGCGAAGAUCGGUAGCCGGCCUGAGAGGGCACACGGCCACACUGGCACUGAAACACGGGCCAGACUCCUACGGGAGGCAGCAGUGGGGAAUCUUGCACAAUGGGGGAAACCCUGAUGCAGCGACGCCGCGUGAGCGAUGAAGCCCUUCGGGGUGUAAAGCUCUUUCGACAGGAACGAUAAUGACGGUACCUGGAGAAGAAGCUGCGGCUAACUACGUG